GCCUGGUGUGCGGUGGCGCACACCUGUAAUCCCAGCAGCUCGGGAGGCUGAGACAGGAGGAUCACGAGUUCAAAGCCAGCCAGCAAUGGCAAGGUGCUAUGUAACUCAGUAAGAACCUGUCUCUA
rnacentral:sRNA from 1 species